UCCUCACCAAAGAACUAAUUUUUCUCGAGCUUCUGCACGAACAAAUUGUGAGCUUGGAUCUUUGUUUUAGUUUCUAUUUCUUGUUUCAAAAGCCAUUAACACCUACAUGCAAGUGGAUCAAUGGGUGUUUGCUGCUUUUGUGAGCUUCUUUUGUUGCUGCAUCUCCACACAAAAUCCAGACUGGUAUCACCAAAUGUGAUGAACAAUGGUUUUUGCUUGUUAUUUUGUGGGGUUAUUGGUUAGCUCUAGUUUGUGAUUGCCGCAGUUGUCUUCCCUAGCUAGCUGACUAACGAGUAGAAGUGAAGAUACCUGGAUCAAGUUCGUGGCAUUUCCUGCACCGUUUGAGCAGAAACAUGAAAUUUCUUUCAGAAGGUUAGUUAGUUGGCAUCCUCUGAAUUCAGAUGUUUGUCCUAAUUGUUCAUAUAUAGAUCUUUUUAGCCCUAUAUAUCUAUUGCGAGUAACCUCUUUUGGUCUUUGCUUGAGAUUUGUCUUCUCUUCUUUCCUGUGUUACGUGACCUUACAACUUGCUCUCAGGCAUAAGAGGACAGUGGUUUUUAGAGGGUAGAGUCUGCUUACUUUGCAAAAUUCUUAAUUUCCUGAUGAAUUUGAAGAUUGAUCCCUUAUUGCUGGAAGCUCCUUAUGGAGUGAAACGAGGUUAAGGAAAAUGUCUAUAGUGAGGUUGUUUCUCUUAACUUGAGGAACCAAUUGUGUGUGUGUUUUGGUUGUUAUGCUGCAUUGCAUUAUUCUUGUGUGUUUGACCGUUGUCAUUGUUUUCAAUCUAGCCCUUCGGAUUUCGCAACCUAAUAUCGGUAACAUGUGGAUCCAGUUCAGUCUGCUUUUGGUGGCUGCCGUUGAGAAUUCCUGACUCUUUCUUCAUUCAUUUUGGCUGUUAGUUAAUGUCGAUCUACGACAACUUUGUCCAUUGAUUUCCCGAGGGAUUGAUGAAAGGAUUUGCGCUGUGAAACGUAGAAUGGAUUUACACGAAUUCUCGGUCCACAGAACUUCAUUUCCUUUCCUCCUUUGGCAUGAAAACUCCAUAUGUAUUUUUGAAGUUGCAUCUAGUUACAAUAGCUAGUUUCCUCUACCGUUUCUGUGUUUGCUCCAAAUAAGAUGUUUUUGCGGCUUUGAUAUGAAAUUUUCAAGCUGUGUUCAUCGUUUUCGUACAAGGGAGACUUGGUAUUGAUAGCUAAUGAAUCAUCCUGAAAUAAGUGAUGGUUUUUCCAUGGCUGCGAUCUUUGUGGUUGCAUUGUUAGGAGGGGUGCGCACAAUAGCAAGCUGGAACAGAAUCGUGCUAUCAUGCGACCGACCAGGAAAUGGCGGUUAAGUCUCCUAAAUAUCCAAAUCCAAAUUCCAGGAUUCACUUCGGACAAGAACUUGGAAUUCUGGGAGGUAUAGGGCAUUGUCUGAUGAUGUGUUUUAUGUGUAUAUAUAUAUAGCCUGAGAUUGGACAUUAAUUAGAUUUCCAAUGUAUACAACAUCGCGUUUGCAUUGUCUUCCUCA